rnacentral:rRNA from 1 species
UAGGGAAUCUUCCGCAAUGGACGCAAGUCUGACGGAGCAACGCCGCGUGAGUGAAGAAGGAUUUCGGUUCGUAAAACUCUGUUGUUAGAGAAGAACAGCGCAUAGAGUAACUGUUAUGCGUGUGACGGUAUCUAACCAGAAAGCCACGGCUAACUACGUUCCAGCAGCCGCGGUAAUACGUAGGUGGCAAGCGUUGUCCGGAUUUAUUGGGCGUAAAGCGAGCGCAGGCGGUCAAUUAAGUCUGAUGUGAAAGCCCCCGGCUCAACCGGGGAGGGGCAUUGGAAACUGGUUGACUUGAGUGCAGAAGAGGAGAGUGGAAUUCCAUGUGUAGCGGUGAAAUGCGUAGAUAUAUGGAGGAACACCAGUGGCGAAGGCGACUCUCUGGUCUGUAACUGACGCUGAGGUUCGAAAGCGUGGGUAGCAAACAGG